rnacentral:lncRNA from 1 species
GAUGCAGAAAGCUAUCAGCAAGCUAAGCAGACUCCUGAAGCCUGGAGGGGUGAUGCUUCUUCGAGACUAUGGCCGCUAUGACAUGGCUCAGCUUCGGUUUAAAAAAGGUCAGUGUCUGUCUGGAAAUUUCUAUGUGAGAGGUGAUGGCACCAGAGUUUACUUCUUCACACAAGAUGAGCUGGAUACACUCUUCACUGCUGCGGGUCUGGAAAAGGUGCAGAACGUGGUGGAUCGACGCUUGCAGGUGAAUCGAGGGAAACAGCUGACCAUGUACCGCGUCUGGAUUCAGUGCAAAUACAGCAAGCCGCUAGUGCCCAGUGCCAGCCAACAUGUGCCCACUCCCCACACGACAUAAGUUCUUCGUAUUUGGGGCUUUUGUAAGAAGACAUCUGUAAAUGGUGACUUGGUGGUAGUGGACAUUUUAUUGACAUUAACAAGUAUGGCUUCUGGCCAGCCGCAGUGGCCCAGCACUCAGGAGGUGGAGCCUGGCAGAUCUCUGAGUUAGAGCAGCCAGUGCUGCACAGAGAAACCCUGUCUCCAAAAACAAACAAACAAAAGUAUGGCUUUUAUUUGUGAAGCCCAUUAGUGCAUAUUUCCUCGAGUUUGUUUUAUUAUUAAUAUUAUUGUCUAGUGGGGCAAUGCUAUGAUGAAGUGUGGAGUUCAAAGGACAACUUGCAGGGGUCGGUUCUCUCCUACCUGUUGGUCCUGGAAUUCACUCAGGCAUACAGACCAAAAUAAACUUUAUAUCUUUU